rnacentral:rRNA from 1 species
CGGGGAAUUUUGGACAAUAGGCGCAAGCCUGAUCCAGCAAUGCCGCGUGCAGGAUGAAGGCCUUCGGGUUGUAAACUGCUUUUGUACGGAACGAAAAAGCUCUCUCUAAUACAGGGGGUGAAUGACGGUACCGUAAGAAUAAGCACCGGCUAACUACGUGCCAGCAGCCGCGGUAAUACGUAGGGUGCAAGCGUUAAUCGGAAUUACUGGGCGUAAAGCGUGCGCAGGCGGUUUUGUAAGACAGAGGUGAAAUCCCCGGGCUCAACCUGGGAACUGCCUUUGUGACUGCAAAGCUGGAGUGCGGCAGAGGGGGAUGGAAUUCCGCGUGUAGCAGUGAAAUGCGUAGAUAUGCGGAGGAACACCGAUGGCGAAGGCAAUCCCCUGGGCCUGCACUGACGCUCAUGCACGAAAGCGUGGGGAGCAAACA